rnacentral:lncRNA from 1 species
UUUUUUUUUUUUUUUUUUUUGUGAAAAGAUAAUUUUUUUUUUUUUGGACAAAAUUAUUGCAAUCCAGUGAAUGGAUGAUAAUCUGGAAGCAUAACAGUGGAUCUACCAUUGUAAAAUACCCAAAUGAACAUUAUUACUCUUUUCUUUUCACCAGCAGUUGAACUCCUCUAUUGACCGGCCAGUCCAAUCCUGCAUGCACAUGAAAAAAUUGAAUACAUGUACCUAUAUAAGUGGGAUAAGUGAAUUUCAGUGUAUAUGCUUUGUAUUCUUGUCGAAUUAUAUGUUCCUAUUGACACAUAUGACCAUUUGCAUUUAUACCAAUAGAUUUUUGUGUGAUUAUUGGCGCUUGAAUUAAUUAGGCCCUUUAAAAGUUGAAAUGCUUACAUGGUAACUGGCCCUAAAAUCAGUAAAUUUUGAACUCUAAGAAAGUAUACAAGUGGGAAAAAAAAUAGAACAAAUUCAAUAUUGGACAAACGGAUCAAGUGAGUUGAAUUUUCAAUGUAUCUAAUGAUAACUUGAUAUAUAGCAAGAGUUAUAUGGAGAAAUUGAAAUUCUUUAUCUUCUCGCUAAUCACUAUAUUCCCAUUAAUGUGUGCCAUAUUAGACUAGGCAUUGCGCCCCCUUCCUGUUUCCAUGUUGACCCAUGAGCUUACCAAGUUGUCUCGUCUUCAUUCUCCACAAAAGCUGUACUCAGGACCUUGCCACAAUUCUGGCGGCACUUGUCCUUCUCAGUCCGAAAGAAGAUUUGGACUUCUUUCCAAAUGGCCAACCAUAUGUAGUGUUGGACAGAAGUUACCAAAUUUGAAUAUCACAUCAGAAAAGAAGAAAUUCCACAUUGAGGGCUUCAUGGGCCCUAUAUUCUUUUCCUUUUGUUUGUUUUUUACAUAAAGAAAUUUAACAAUUAUCGGAAAAGUUUAAAUUCCGCAAAAAGCAGAUAAUCUAAUAGUCUGCCAAUAUUUACACAACUUGAAUGAAUGAUGUAUAAGAUGGCCCGAGAUGUUCUGUUUUAUAAUUUAUCUGUGUGACACGCUCUGUUUCAUAACCUUUUUGAGUGACAAUCAAGUGUCUUACCGUAUCUUUAAUUACCAAGGUAUGAUAUAUAAAGAUUUGAAUUCUUAUCUAUUAUUUCGUGGAACACAUAUGACAAAAGUGUAAUAGGAAAAGUUGUAACAAAAUAUCUUUUUAAGGUAUAUAAAAGAUCAACAAAAGCUGUCGAUAGCAUGGUAUGGGGAGUAAAACUGAGAGAGCUCGUGUCUCAUGCAUGACAUAAGAAGAAAGAAAUAAAAGUCGACAUAAUAAUGUGUCAUUAUCGAAGGAAAGGAAAAUCAAAUCAAAGUUGGGUAGGUUGGACUUGGAGUCCAGCAAAUUGCAAGUUUUCAAGGGGAAAGAAAAUUGAAAAGCAAUUCCUCGUAUUCAAUUCAUUCACGGCUCAGCUAUUUUUGCUGCUUAUCAACCCUAUAAAGGUCGGAACAAAACGAUAAUCAUGUGAGAAAAAUAUAAGCAGGUCCAAAUAUCUUAAUGUAGAAAACCAAAAACGCUUGAGUGCUUAUCAACUGGCAGCCACCAUAUCUUCAAGCAACUUGUAGAUGAAGAUUUUUCAAACUUAGAUUGUUGGGAAUCUAUGCAGACUUUCAAUUUUCAAACGUGUCUCCAUCUUCCCUCUUGGCUCUGUGCGGUGGAUAAACACUUCAUUAUCACUUCAUCAAAGUCUAAAUAAAUGAAUAUGGUGCUAGCACAUCUUUCAAGUUAUCAUCAUUGACGUUAAACCUGUGAGAUUGGAGAUAAAUGGUCAUAAUAAGUAUCAAAGUCUAUGGAUAUAUAUGCAAGGCUGAAUGUGUUUGAUGACUCUGCAUGUAUCUGGAUUGAUCCUAGAAUGACAGAGUUGAAAGCCAUGGAGCACGAAGCUCAUGACUCGUGACCAUGACUUCUAUUAAUGGAAUAUGACCGAUUAAUCAAAAAUAACUAUCCACAUACUGACAAUCUUGUUCGUGUUUGAAUAUUCAACAUCAAGAAAGGAAGCAGAAUGGGCUGUUGGAUAGCAAGUGCUUGGAUGUCUUUAAGUAGUGUACACUAUCUUUGAAUCAAAUGAUUCAUCUGUAACAAAGGUUAUGAGUUUUACAUCGAAUUUUCAUGCAAUUAACAUCGAUCUAAAUGGACCGGAUGCAUAAUCUUGGUAACAAAUUCUGGCUUGUAGUUAUUCCCUGAAUAAAUGCAAAUGCUGGAAACUCGAAACUCGACUGACGCGGUAGUAGGGAUUUUAAUCAGGUAGCCGUAAGUAACUAAGAAGGCCGCCAUUCUUACUACAUUUUGGGGAAACUAUUUAUGAGUAGGCAGCGAUCAUAAGCCUAAAAGAUGUUUAGGAUUUUUACACACACAAAUAUUUAUUUCAUCCUUUCCAAGUGCCUAAGAGAGAGCUUUUUGGGAAGCAUGCUCUAGUUCAAAGGUGUUUAACGUGAUUCCCUUUAUUUACCACAUGGCUGGUAUGCAAGGCUGGUGGGCUGUCCCAUUUGUAAAGUUUUUUCCUACUAGCAUGCAUGAAGUGACAAAUUAUCUGUUCUUCUAUCACCUGCAUCAGUAAUCUAAGCAUUAGAUUCAGAAACGUGAUCUUUUCAAAAGUAGGAUUCAGGUGCUUGUUCGGCGGUGCCUGUACCUUUUACAAUCGGCCUAACAUUUUGGCCAACCUUUUUGACUCUCCACCUAACGUUUUGCCCCAGCUUUUUGAAACCUAAGGCAUCUCUACUGGUGACCUUUUUGAAAGACAUUUCCUUAUAGUUUCAUUGGGAUCUUUUUGGAAAGCAACUGAGCCAGAGAUGACGCUAACGUUUCGAAAAAAAAAAAACUGAGCCAGAGAUGUAAUAACUAUGAGACAACUCAUAAGUAAAAGUUUUGGAUGUUAAAAGCACCUCUCAGGUACUGUUUCCCGCAUCCCUUCACAGCUACUGCUACAACGUCCUUCACUCUACCCUACAACUGUUGCCGUUUAGGCUUAGUCAAUUCAUCAACGCAAACUUCAAGAUGGCCCCAAACAAAAUAGUAUGAUUCCUGCAUUUGCAUUAAAACAGAAUAUGCAGACACACCCUUUUUUCCCAUUUACUUCACUGGUUCUGUUUCAAAACAAUAAAGAUGCACAUAUGCCAUGAACAAGUGAAUGUAAUCAAUUAGGACUCCUGGGUUUGGCUCCGUUGGAUUGGCCAUUUUUUCAAAAACAAAAUUUUCAAAAAUACAAUGUUACAAUAAUACAUAAUAACUCAAAAAACAUAUCAUUCAUAUAAUAUAUCAAAUGUUUCAAAAAAAUUUUCAUAUAUACUACUACUACAGUAAAAUUUUUCAAAAAAUAUCUCCAAAAAACAACUAGUCCGAAUAGAGCAUGUGUUUGAGACCUACGUACUUUAAACUACAAUAAAAUUUUUCAAAAAUAUCUCCAAAAAACAGCUAGUCCAAAUAGAGCGUGUUUGAGACCCACGUGCUUUAAAUGUACACUUAUGCAUAACUCUUUCCUUGUUGAUUUAGCGUUGUAUCGAAUGGCUUUCUUCACCACCAAGAGUUCUCAAGGGGGCAGCUAAAUACCUAGCUAGGUUAGGUCAACCAAACUCUUGAGUAAGUAGUAGUAGCAUGCAUUUUAUGAUGGAUUAAGAUUGGUGCAUCACAUGGUUAUGCAAUGCAAGAGAGCUAAUGCAAAUGCAGGUGUCAGUAACUAGCACUAAGCUUUUCGCAAUCAGGGAGUGUUUUAUACAUUUCUAUAUGGAACUAUGUUGCUACAACAGACAGGCAAUUAACUUUUCAAGUUAUCCUCACCGAAUUGGAUAUCCAACCGGAGGAAAUCCUGAUCCAAUCCCUAAAAUUUAUAACUUAAAUCAAUUGAUAGGAAAUUGUGAUUCUCAUCAUCGUGCUACGAUCUAGAUGCGCCAACUGUUUUGCUUCUUAGCUUCGAAGGAGGCACCAUCAUUCA